AAGAGAAAGUGGAUGCGGAGUUAUGAAGAAGACUUCUUUACUUUUCUGGACUGCUGUGGACAGGCUUGGCUGAUGAAAAUGUCAAAAUUCACGAGUUUGUACUUACAUAAUCAAAUUUAGUUUGAUUCCCAAACUGGGAUAGGAGGGAGGUGUUAGGGUGUUGGAGGGAUGCUGGGAAAUUGUCCAGGAACAAAGGACGCAAAGGCAUCAGAUGUUUGAAAAGACCCAUAUAUCUCCUGGGACUUCAGAGGAAAAAGAUCUGAAUCUGUUUGACAAAAUUCCCCUCUUUCUCUAUCUCGCUCCUGAGCAGCGACUACCAGACAUCAAACGAAGAGAGCGCUAAUCACAGAGAGAACCGCAGGGUAAAGCAAACAGCUGAGGGCGACAGCAUAUGGAUGGAGGGGUGUCAAACGUGACUAGAAAGGUACAGCUGAGGUCUUCCUUUCUUCUUGCUUGGUAUCAAGGGGCGAGGCUUAUUGACCCCCGAAAUAUCACCCAUCUGACACCCUGACCUAAAUCUGUCCUGAACGCCUUUAUCUCGACAGAGCUCUAGUAGGUUUUGACGUGCAAUGUGACACAUAUCAACGAUCGGGACACUGAUAUGACUGAUAAUACAACACGUGUCCCUGUCUUCAGCUAAGCUUCCUUUACACUGACAGCAGACUGCAGGAAUGCUGCUUAAACACUGUACUUGUGUUUAGUUUGAGUUUAGUAGCUCUAUGUGUGUGCACACAGACCCUCUGUUUGAGCCUGUACAGAUUUUGAGGAAUAAUCAAUUAUUCUGAGAUUGAAUAUAAACAUUUUUGAGUGA